rnacentral:rRNA from 1 species
GACUCUCGGCAACGGAUAUCUCGGCUCUCGCAUCGAUGAAGAACGUAGCGAAAUGCGAUACUUGGUGUGAAUUGCAGAAUCCCGUGAACCAUCGAGUCUUUGAACGCAAGUUGCGCCCGAAGCCUUCAGGCCGAGGGCACGCCUGCCUGGGUGUCACGC